UUGAACGCUGGCGGCAGGCCUAACACAUGCAAGUCGAGCGGCAGCGCGGGGCAACCUGGCGGCGAGCGGCGGACGGGUGAGUAACGCGUGGGAAUCUACCCAGUAGCGGGGGAUAGCCCGGGGAAACUCGGAUUAAUACCGCAUACGCCCUAAGGGGGAAAGCAGGGGAUCGUAAGACCUUGCACUAUUGGAAGAGCCUGCGUUGGAUUAGCUAGUUGGUAGGGUAAAGGCCUACCAAGGCGACGAUCCAUAACUGGUCUGAGAGGAUGAUCAGUGACACCGGAACUGAGACACGGUCCGGACUCCGACGGGAGGCAGCAGUGGGGAAUAUUGGACAGUGGGGGCAACCCUGAUCCAGCCAUGCCGCGUGUGUGAAGAAGGCCUUCGGGUUGUAAAGCACUUUAAGUGGGGAGAAAGGUUCGGCAGCUAAUACCUGCCGGAAGUGAUGUUACCCACAGAAUAAGCACCGGCUAACUCUGUGCCAGCCGCCGCGGUAA
rnacentral:rRNA from 1 species